rnacentral:rRNA from 1 species
UACGUAGGGGGCAAGCGUUAUCCGGAAUUACUGGGUGUAAAGGGAGCGUAGACGGUAAUGUAAGUCUGGAGUGAAAGGCGGGGGCCCAACCCCCGGACUGCUCUGGAAACUAUGUUACUGGAGUGCAGGAGAGGUAAGCGGAAUUCCUAGUGUAGCGGUGAAAUGCGUAGAUAUUAGGAGGAACACCAGUGGCGAAGGCAGCCUACCGGCGCGCAACUGACGCUCAUGCACGAAAGCGUGGGUAUCGAACAGG